AGUGAACGCUGGCGGUAGGCCUAACACAUACAAGUCGAGCGCAGGAAAUCGACGGAACCCUUCGGGGGGAAGUCGACGGAAUGAGCGGCGGACGGGUGAGUAACACGUAAAGAACCUGCCCUCAGGUCUGGGAUAACCACGAGAAAUCGGGGCUAAUACCGGAUGGGUCAUCGGACCGCAUGGUCCGAGGAUGAAAGGCGCUUCGGCGUCGCCUGGGGAUGGCUUUGCGGUGCAUUAGCUAGUUGGGGGGGUAAUGGCCCACCAAGGCGACGAUGCAUAGCCGACCUGAGAGGGUGAUCGGCCACACUGGGACUGAGACACGGCCCAGACUCCUACGGGAGGCAGCUGUAGGGAAUCUUCCACAAUGGACGAAAGUCUGAUGGAGCAACGCCGCGUGAACGAUGAAGGCCUUCGGGUCGUAAAGUUCUGUUGUAAGGGAAGAACAAGUGCCGCAGGCAAUGGCGGCACCUUGACGGUACCUUGCGAGAAAGCCACGGCUAACUACGUGCCAGCCGCCGCGGUAA
rnacentral:rRNA from 1 species